rnacentral:rRNA from 1 species
GUGCACCAGGCGCGAAAACUUCACACUGUGCGAAAGCACGAUGAGGGAAUCCCAAGUGCUUGCACGUAAGUGUAAGCUGUUUCUCUGUCUAAAACGCAGAGAGAGUAAGGGCUGGGUAAGACGGGUGCCAGCCGCCGCGGUAAUACCUGCAGCUCAAGUGGUGACCGUUAUUAUUGGGCCUAAAACGUCCGUAGCCGGUUUAAUAAAUGCCUGGGUAAAUUGUGUAGCUUAACUAUACGAAUUCCGGGUAGACUGUUAAACUUGAGACCGGGAGAAGUUAGAGGUACUCCUGGGGUAGAGGUGAAAUUCUGUAAUCCUAGGGGGACCACCAGUGGCGAAGGCGUCUAACUAGAACGGGUCUGACGGUGAGGGACGAAGCCCUGGGGCGCAAACGGGAUUAGAUACCCCC